rnacentral:rRNA from 1 species
CGAGGGGCAGCGAGUUUGUAGCAAUACAGAUGUCGGCGACCGGCGCACGGGUGCGUAACAGGUGUGCAAUCUUCCCGUAAUCAGGGCAUAGCCCGGCGAAAGUUGGAUUAACUCCCUAUGUGUGUAUUUCCCGCAUGAGAGAUACAUGAAACAUUUAUGGAUUACGGAUGAGCACGCUUCUGAUUAGUUAGUUGGCGGGGUAACGGCCCACCAAGGCUACGAUCAGUAGGGGUUCUGAGAGGAAGGUCCCCCACAUUGGAACUGAGACACGGUCCAAACUCCUACGGGAGGCAGCAGUGAGGAAUAUUGGUCAAUGGGCGAGAGCCUGAACCAGCCAAGUCGCGUGAAGGAUGAAGGUUCUAUGGAUUGUAAACUUCUUUUGUCCGAGGGUAAAGUGUGCCACGUGUGGCAUAUUGCAAGUAUCGGACGAAUAAGCAUCGGCUAACUCCGUGCCAGCAGCCGCGGUAAUACGGAGGAUGCGAGCGCUAUCCGGAUUUAUUGGGUUUAAAGGGUGCGUAGGCGGGUGAUUAAGUCAGUGGUGAAAUCGUGUGGCUCAACCAUACAGUUGCCGUUGAUACUGGUUGCCUUGAGUACAGUUGAGGCAGGCGGAAUGUGAUGUGUAGCGGUGAAAUGCUUAGAUAUGUCACAGAACCCCGAUUGCGAAGGCAGCUUGCCAAGCUGUAACUGACGCUGAGGCACGAAAGCGUGGGUAUCAAACAGGAUUAGAUACCCUGGUAGUCCACGCAGUAAACGAUGAAUACUAUCUGUUGGCGAUAUAAUGUCAGCGGUACAGCGAAAGUGUUAAGUAUUCCACCUGGGGAGUACGCCGGCAACGGUGAAACUCAAAGGAAUUGACGGGGGCCCGCACAAGCGGAGGAACAUGUGGUUUAAUUCGAUGAUACGCGAGGAACCUUACCCGGGCUUGAAAGUUAGUGACGGAUCAGGAAACUGGUCUUCCCUUCGGGGCACGAAACUAGGUGCUGCAUGGUUGUCGUCAGCUCGUGCCGUGAGGUGUCGGCUUAAGUGCCAUAACGAGCGCAACCCUUGCUGUUAGUUGCCAUCGGGUGAUGCCGGG